rnacentral:tRNA from 1 species
CCGUGGCUCAGCAGGUAGAGCGUCGCCUUGGUAAGGCGGAGGUCACGGGUUCAAGUCCCGUCGGU